UACAGAGAGUGCGAGCGUUAAUCGGAAUCACUGGGCGUAAAGCGUACGUAGGUGGAUAUUUAAGUCGGAUGUGAAAUCCCUGGGCUUAACCUAGGAAUUGCAUUCGAUACUGGGUAUCUAGAGUAUGGUAGAGGGAAGUGGAAUUUCCGGUGUAGCGGUGAAAUGCGUAGAUAUCGGAAGGAACAUCAGUGGCGAAGGCGGCUUCCUGGACCAAUACUGACACUAAAGUACGAAAGCGUGGGGAGCAAACAGG
rnacentral:rRNA from 1 species